rnacentral:rRNA from 1 species
AGUCACACUGGAACUGAGACACGGUCCAGACUCCUACGGGAGGCAGCAGUGGGGAAUAUUGGACAAUGGGCGAAAGCCUGAUCCAGCCAUGCCGCGUGUGUGAAGAAGGUCUUCGGAUUGUAAAGCACUUUAAGUUGGGAGGAAGGGCAGUAAGUUAAUACUUGCUUUUUGACGUUACCGACAGAAUAAGCACCGGCUAACUCUGUGCCAGCAGCCGCGGUAAUACAGAGGGUGCAAGCGUUAAUCGGAAUUACUGGGCGUAAAGCGCGCGUAGGUGGUUCGUUAA